UACGUAGGGGGCGAGCGUUGUCCGGAUUUAUUGGGCGUAAAGAGCGUGUAGGCGGCCAGAUAGGUCCGUUGUGAAAACUCGAGGCUCAACCUCGAGACGCCGAUGGAAACCAUCUGGCUAGAGUCCGGAAGAGGAGAGUGGAAUUCCUGGUGUAGCGGUGAAAUGCGCAGAUAUCAGGAAGAACACCCGUGGCUAAGGCGGCUCUCUAGUACGGUACUGACGCUGAGACGCGAAAGCGUGGGGAGCGAACAGG
rnacentral:rRNA from 1 species